rnacentral:rRNA from 1 species
GACGAACGCUGGCGGCGUGCCUAAUACAUGCAAGUAGAACGCACAGUUUAUACCGUAGCUUGCUACACCAUAAACUGUGAGUUGCGAACGGGUGAGUAACGCGUAGGUAACCUGCCUGGUAGCGGGGGAUAACUAUUGGAAACGAUAGCUAAUACCGCAUCAUAUUGAUUAUUGCAUGAUAAUUGAUUGAAAGAUGCUAUUGCAUCACUACCAGAUGGACCUGCGUUGUAUUAGCUAGUAGGUGAGGUAACGGCUCACCUAGGCGACGAUACAUAGCCGACCUGAGAAGGUGAUCGGCCACACUGGGACUGAGACACGGCCCAGACUCCUACGGGAGGCAGCAGUAGGGAAUCUUCGGCAAUGGACGAAAGUCUGACCGAGCAACGCCGCGUGAGUGAAGAAGGUUUUCGGAUCGUAAAGCUCUGUUGUAAGAGAAGAACGGGUGUGAGAGUGGAAAGUUCACACUGUGACGGUAUCUUACCAGAAAGGGACGGCUAACUACGUG